rnacentral:misc_RNA from 1 species
GUUUCCUUUUGGGUCUCCCAUGCUAGCCCCCCAACAAACACUUUGGUGAAAGUGGUGUCUCCAAAUUGGCCUGCCAAGUUUGGUGGACUCAUCUUUCACCCUCUUCUCCCAAGUUUGGAUCUCAACAAGCUUCAAUAAGUGAUCUCAGGAAUGAAGGGGAGCAACCCAAGUAUGAGAGGGAUCUUCAAAGCUCUUGAGGUGAGUUUGG